UACAGAGGGGGCAAGCGUUGUUCGGAAUUACUGGGCGUAAAGGGCGCGUAGGCGGCCUUCUAAGUCGAACGUGAAAUCCCCGGGCUCAACCCGGGAACUGCGUCCGAUACUGGAAGGCUUGAAUCCGGGAGAGGGAUGCGGAAUUCCAGGUGUAGCGGUGAAAUGCGUAGAGAUCGGGAGGAACACCAGUGGCGAAGGCGGCUCGCUGGGCCGGUCCUGACACUGAGACGCGAAGGCGUGGGGAGCGAACGGG
rnacentral:rRNA from 1 species